UUAGGGACUGGUCAUAAAGUAACUGCUAGGGUGGGCUGGAGGUAAACCACAAAUUUUGCCAAUAAUUUCGGUGACCCAUCUUAGGAUGUAGAUAAAAAUUUCAAAGCCCAUCUAAUCUUACAAAAAAAUUUUCAUGACCCACCCAAUCUAAAUAGGGAAAUACACGUUUAUAAUAAAAAAAACAACUUGCAGGUAUGAACAUUACAAAUAUACACCGGCACUGUAUUGACAUACAUAAUUCCACCAAGCUUGACCAACAUAUUCAUCACCAAUUACGAUACUGAGCUGUUCUCCAGUUGGUUGUAUUUGCUGUGAUUCGACCACUUCUUGUUGUUGUAUUUACAAAGUACUGACUUCAAUAGCAUCAUUUGCAUUUGAUAAUUUGGAUAGUUUUGUUUACUGUUAUUAUUAAUAUCUUUAUUUUUUGAAGUAGACAUGCAUGGAUUUUGUUUCGUGGCCCAACCGUGGAAAUACAAAAAAAUUGGCGACCCAUCGAAACUGCCCAAAGAUUUUCCAUGGCCCAUCCCAAAUCACUACAGCCCACCCUAGCAGUUACUUUAUGACCGGUCCC